rnacentral:rRNA from 1 species
UAUACCGUGAAACUGCGAAUGGCUCAUUAAAUCAGUUAUCGUUUAUUUGAUAGUACCUUACUACUUGGAUAACCGUGGUAAUUCUAGAGCUAAUACAUGCUAAAAACCCCGACUUCGGAAGGGGUGUAUUUAUUAGAUAAAAAACCAAUGCCCUUCGGGGCUUCUUGGUGAUUCAUAAUAACUUAACGAAUCGCAUGGCCUUGUGCCGGCGAUGGUUCAUUCAAAUUUCUGCCCUAUCAACUUUCGAUGUUAAUGUAUUGGAUUAACAUGGUUUCAACGGGUAACGGGGAAUUAGGGUUCUAUUCCGGAGAGGGAGCCUGAGAAACGGCUACCACAUCCAAGGAAGGCAGCAGGCGCGCAAAUUACCCAAUCCCGACACGGGGAGGUAGUGACAAUAAAUACUGAUACAGGGCUCUUUUGGGUCUUGUAAUUGGAAUGAGUACAAUUUAAAUCCCUUAACGAGGAACAAUUGGAGGGCAAGUCUGGUGCCAGCAGCCGCGGUAAUUCCAGCUCCAAUAGCGUAUAUUAAAGUUGUUGCAGUUAAAAAGCUCGUAGUUGAACCUUGGGCCUGGCUGGCCGGUCCGCCUCACCGCGUGCACUGGUCCGGCCGGGCCUUUCCUUCUGGGGAGCCGCAUGCCCUUCACUGGGUGUGUCGGGGAACCAGGACUUUUACUUUGAAAAAAUUAGAGUGUUCAAAGCAGGCCUAUGCUCGAAUACAUUAGCAUGGAAUAAUAGAAUAGGACGUGUGGUUCUAUUUUGUUGGUUUCUAGGACCGCCGUAAUGAUUAAUAGGGAUAGUCGGGGGCAUCAGUAUUCAAUUGUCAGAGGUGAAAUUCUUGGAUUUAUUGAAGACUAACUACUGCGAAAGCAUUUGCCAAGGAUGUUUUCAUUAAUCAGUGAACGAAAGUUAGGGGAUCGAAGACGAUCAGAUACCGUCGUAGUCUUAACCAUAAACUAUGCCGACUAGGGAUCGGGCGAUGUUAUCUUUUUGACUCGCUCGGCACCUUACGAGAAAUCAAAGUCUUUGGGUCUGGGGG